rnacentral:rRNA from 1 species
AACGAACGCUGGCGGCAUGCCUAACACAUGCAAGUCGAACGAGAUCUUCGGGUCUAGUGGCGCACGGGUGCGUAACGCGUGGGAAUCUGCCCUUUGGUUCGGAAUAACAGUUGGAAGCGACUGCUAAUACCGGAUGAUGACGAAAGUCCAAAGAUUUAUCGCCAGAGGAUGAGCCCGCGUAGGAUAGCUAGUUGGUGUGGUAAAGGCGCACCAAGGCGACGAUCCUUAGCUGGUCUGAGAGGAUGAUCAGCCACACUGGGACUGAGACACGGCCCAGACUCCUACGGGAGGUAGCAGUGGGGAAUACUGGACAAUGGGCGAAAGCCUGAUCCAGCAAUGCCGCGUGAGUGAUGAAGGCCUUAGGGUUGUAAAGCUCUUUUACCCGGGAUGAUAAUGACAGUACCGGGAGAAUAAGCUCCGGCUAACUCCGUGCCAGCCGCCGCCGUAA